rnacentral:rRNA from 1 species
UACGGAGGGUGCGAGCAUUAAUCGGAUUUAUUGGGCGUAAAGGGCGCGUAGGCGGUUUGUCGCGUCGGGAGUGAAAAUCCAGGGCUUAACUCUGGACUGGCUUCCGAUACGGGCAGACUAGAGGUAUGCAGGGGAGAACGGAAUUCCUGGUGUAGCGGUGAAAUGCGCAGAUAUCAGGAGGAACACCGGUGGCGAAGGCGGUUCUCUGGGCAUUACCUGACGCUGAGGAGCGAAAGUGUGGGGAGCGAACAGG